UGGGGAAUAUUGCACAAUGGAGGGAACUCUGAUGCAGCGACGCCGCGUGAGUGAUGAAGGAAUUCGUUUCGUAAAACUCUGUUCUAUGGGAAGAAAAGGACUGUACCAUAGGAGAAAGCUCCGGCUAAAUACGUGCCAGCAGCCGCGGUAAUACGUAUGGAGCGAGCGUUGUCCGGAAUUAUUGGGCGUAAAGGGUGCGCAGGCGGCUUUACAAGUUGGAUGUGAAAUAUUGUGGCUCAACCACAAACGUGCAUCCAAAACUGCAAAGCUUGAGUUAAGGAGAGGUAAGUGGAAUUCCUGGUGUAGCGGUGGAAUGCGUAGAUAUCAGGAGGAAUACCGGUGGCGAAGGCGACUUACUGGCCAUAACCUGACGCUGAGGUACGAAAGCGUGGGUAGCAAACAGG
rnacentral:rRNA from 1 species